UUUUAUGGUACAUUUGGAUCAUUCGGCCGAUGCAGUGCCAUAUCCUUUUUAGGGUUUUAUUUUUUUCAUGUUUAUUGUUCGUAAUUUGUAGUGUUGCAUUGCAUUCCAACAUCGAAUAUUGAGGGUAAUAGAGUAGAUCUAUUGGUUCACCUUCUUUCAUUUGGUGCUUUCAACUUUGAAUUUUUUAAUCCUACUCAUUUUGCUUAGUUUUUGUUCGAUUUGGAUUUUGCAGUUUAGAGCCGAUUUGGGGAUUUUGAAAUGUUGGACGUUGGGCCAGUUACACCACAACAGGCUCUUCUAGAGGCAGUGUUGGCGUGUAGAUGAUGAGGAGGAAAUGACGAAGGUAGAUGACCAAAAAGGUCUUAUAGAAGAAGAAGAAGCUCAGAAGUCUGAUACACCAAGCAACUCCAUCUGAAAGUGACAGAAUCCAAAGGAACUGCGGUCCAGUGGCUGUAUAAAAGAAAAGGACAACGCAUGCUCUCUCUCACAGUAGCUCUGUGUUCCUCUCCCCCCAAACCUAAUGGCUUCAACCCAAUUCAGAGCUUGCUCGGAUCGGGACCUCUUGGAGAUUCGGAGCUCCAGGUGAGAUAAUUUUCCCCAAAUUGUAUUCAAUCUAUGUUGCUUCAUUUCAUUUUCCAUUUUAAUUUGGAAUUGUUGAUAUUUUAGGCAGGUAUUGCAUGUAUAACCACAACAAUUUUUGUGUUAGAUUGGGGUCAAAUUGUCCAGCUUUAUUAGCUAUUUGGUCGCCUGUGUAUUUGUAAUAUGAAUAAUAUGAAUUAUGGUUUUUCUGUUAGUGUC